CCUACGGGUGGCAGCAGUGAGGAAUAUUGGUCAAUGGCCGCAGGGCUGAACCAGCCAAGUCGCGUGAGGGAUGACGGUCCUAUGGAUUGUAAACCUCUUUUGUCAGGGAGCAAAGGGCGCCACGUGUGGCGUUUUGCGAGUACCUGAAGAAAAAGCAUCGGCUAACUCCGUGCCAGCAGCCGCGGUAAUACGGAGGAUGCGAGCGUUAUCCGGAUUUAUUGGGUUUAAAGGGUGCGUAGGCGGGCUUUUAAGUCAGCGGUAAAAAUUCGGGGCUCAACCCCGUCCGGCCGUUGAAACUGGGGGCCUUGAGUGGGCGAGAAGAAGGCGGAAUGCGUGGUGUAGCGGUGAAAUGCAUAGAUAUCACGCAGAACCCCGAUUGCGAAGGCAGCCUUCCGGCGCCCUACUGACGCUGAGGCACGAAAGUGCGGGGAUCGAACAGGAUUAGAUACCCCGGUAGUC
rnacentral:rRNA from 1 species